rnacentral:rRNA from 1 species
CCUACGGGAGGCAGCAGGGAGGAAUAUUGGGCAAUGGACGAGAGUCUGAACCAGCCAAGUAGCGUGAAGGAUGACGGCCCGAGGGGUGGUAAACGUCUUUUAUAGGGGAAGAAAACAGGGUAGGCAUACCCUCUUGUAUGUACCAUAUGAAUAAGGAUCGGCUAACUCCGUGCCAGCAGCCGCGGUAAUACGGAGGAUCCGAGCGUUAUCCGGCUUUAUUGGGUUUAAAGGGAGCGUAGGUGGAUUGUUAAGUAAGUUGUGAAAGUUUGCGGCUCAACCGUAAAAUUGCAGUUGAAACUGGCAGUCUUGAGUACAGUAGAGGUGGGCGGAAUUCGUGUUGUAGCGGUGAAAUGCUUCGAUAUCACGAAGAACUCCGAUUGCGAAGGCAGCUCACUGGACUGCAACUGACACUGAGGCUCGAAAGUGUGGGUAUCAAACAGGAUUAGAUACCCCAGUAGUC